UCGACUGGCGGCAUGCUAUACAUGCAAGUCGACGAACUCUGGUAUUGAUUGGUGCUUGCAUCAUGAUUUACAUUUGAGUGAGUGGCGAACUGGUGAGUAACACGUGGGAAACCUGCCCAGAAGCGGGGGAUAACACCUGGAAACAGAUGCUAAUACCGCAUAACAACUUGGACCGCAUGGUCCGAGUUUGAAAGAUGGCUUCGGCUAUCACUUUUGGAUGGUCCCGCGGCGUAUUAGCUAGAUGGUGAGGUAACGGCUCACCAUGGCAAUGAUACGUAGCCGACCUGAGAGGGUAAUCGGCCACAUUGGGACUGAGACACGGCCCAAACUCCUACGGGAGGCAGCAGUAGGGAAUCUUCCACAAUGGACGAAAGUCUGAUGGAGCAACGCCGCGUGAGUGAAGAAGGGUUUCGGCUCGUAAAACUCUGUUGUUAAAGAAGAACAUAUCUGAGAGUAACUGUUCAGGUAUUGACGGUAUUUAACCAGAAAGCCACGGCUAACUACGUGCCAGCAGCCGCGGUAAUACGUAGGUGGCAAGCGUUGUCCGGAUUUAUUGGGCGUAAAGCGAGCGCAGGCGGUUUUUUAAGUCUGAUGUGAAAGCCUUCGGCUCAACCGAAGAAGUGCAUCGGAAACUGGGAAACUUGAGUGCAGAAGAGGACAGUGGAACUCCAUGUGUAGCGGUGAAAUGCGUAGAUAUAUGGAAGAACACCAGUGGCGAAGGCGGCUGUCUGGUCUGUAACUGACGCUGAGGCUCGAAAGUAUGGGUAGCAAACAGGAUUAGAUACCCUGGUAGUCCAUACCGUAAACGAUGAAUGCUAAGUGUUGGAGGGUUUCCGCCCUUCAGUGCUGCAGCUAACGCAUUAAGCAUUCCGCCUGGGGAGUACGGCCGCAAGGCUGAAACUCAAAGGAAUUGACGGGGGCCCGCACAAGCGGUGGAGCAUGUGGUUUAAUUCGAAGCUACGCGAAGACCUUA
rnacentral:rRNA from 2 species